rnacentral:sRNA from 1 species
CAGAGAGAGAGACAGAGAGAGAGACAGAGAGACACAGAGAGAGACAGAGAGAGAGAGACAGAGAGAGAGAGACAGAGAGAGAGACAGAGAGAGAGACAGAGAGAGAAAUUGGCUAGUUGGCAUUUCCAGUUACUUUCAGAGUGGCAAAGUUUCAAGAGGUAAGGUACUAAAAGGAGAGGAAUGCCAGGCAUGGUGGGGCACACCUUUAACCCCUAUGAGGAGAUAAAGUUAGGCUGAUUUCUGUGACUUCCAGGCUAGCUUGGUGUACACAGUGAGUUCCGGGACAGCCAGGGCUAUGCAGAGACCCUGUCUCAAAAUAAAAUAAAAUAAAAUAAAAUAAAAUAAAUAAAAUAAAAUGAAAUAAGUCUACUGCCAUCUAUCUACCUAUGUAUAUUUCUGUCUUAUAUAUCAUGUGUUCGUCUGUCUGUUAACUGUCUAAUCAUUUAUCCAUUAAACAUUUUGCAAUUUCCAAUGUCCUCUUCAGUGCUUCCUGUCAAUGAACGGACUCGUAACCUAGUAAAGUCCUUUCUGUAAUGACAAGCCUAGGGAAAAGGAGGGAACAAAGUGGCCUCAUGUGGAAAAAAAGAAUCAGAUUCCCUAGCCUGGUGUGCAUGCACCAUGAUAAUUUCAUGAAGAUGUGUGCAGGCCAGCACUGCCUACAGCAGAACCUGUGGCUUGGGAAGGAGCAUUCAUUUGCAGGGAGAAGAAAGAACCACAUUUUAGACUUGGCUCAGUAAGUUAGCAACUGUGUAACUUUGGCGGUGUCCUUUAGUAUAUCCAAGGCCAUGUUUUCUAAUCUGCAAAAUAGGAGAAAUAGUAUCUGCUUCCCCCCAAGAAAUGCAGAUGCAUUUAUGAUACUGCUUGGCAAUAGGAGGCCAAGCCUCAAGUGUUAAUCAGACUCCUCUGAAUCAAUCUGCUACAAAUGUCUCUCCCUGUUACCCG